UACGGAGGAUCCACGCGUUAUCCGGAAUCAUUGGGUUUAAAGGGUCCGUAGGCGGUUUAAUAAGUCAGUGGUGAAAGCCCAUCGCUCAACGGUGGAACGGCCAUUGAUACUGUUAAACUUGAAUUAUUAGGAAGUAACUAGAAUAUGUAGUGUAGCGGUGAAAUGCUUAGAGAUUACAUGGAAUACCAAUUGCGAAGGCAGGUUACUACUAAUGGAUUGACGCUGAUGGACGAAAGCGUGGGUAGCGAACAGG
rnacentral:rRNA from 1 species